GUGCAUCUAUACCAGGUCCUGGGAAUCUGGGUUUCUGAGGAAACUGAAGGAUUUUCUGGAAAGAACUGUCAUAGGCAUAUGGAAGCUUGGUUUCUGCCUUGGAAGCCAUGUGGACAGAAAGUGCAAUGGUCUGGCUUUUCUGAGUCUGGAGCAGGCUUCUCUUUGAGUGUUUUUUUCUCCCUAUGGCAUAGACACGCCCUCUCAGGUCUGCCUUCUCACCCUCCCCUCAUUUCAAGCAUGUGCUCAUAUCCAAGAGCCAAGUUCAUUUGAGACCUACUGGCUCUGAGGGGUCACAAGAAGCCUGUUGACUGCUGGUGCCAUGGCAACCACUCUCACAGAGUCCAAGGCAACGGAGGCCUGCCUUCCCAGAUAUACCACUUCUAUGUUUUUCUUUUUUGGUAAUUUCCUUUGACCCUGAGUUAACUCAUCCCCAUUCCCAUUAUCGUUGGACUACAGGUCACCCAGGCUUCAGGCAUAACUGUUAAAGAGCUUGAUAAACACCUACCGUGGUUACCACUGCAAACAUGCUGCCGAGUAUUGAUGUUCCCAUCCAUAUUCCAUCCUUGUUUCUAACAGGAGGACUUCAGAUGGCACACUGCACACUGUCCUUGUGAUGGGUGAUUCGAUGGUUUACCAACUUGUAUCCAACAUUACUUCGUGAAAGAACAGUUCUAACAAUUUUGUGUGGGACCAUCUACUGAAGAGUGGCCAUCACACCUUGAGCCACACUCUCAAAGAAAACUGACACUCUCCCAGCAAUCAUCAGCUACCCACAGCUCCUCAGUGAGGGAUAAAUUCCACAAUGAACUGUUGUCAGGCUCCAUCUUGUGCAUAUCUUGGGCAGACAACCACAGUUCCUUUGAGUUCACGAGUGCAGUGGAUUUGUCAUAUCUAGAAGAUAGUGUUCUCUUCUGAUCCUCCCUGACCUCUGGCUCUUAAAAUCUUUUCUCCACACUUCCAUGAUGGUCCCCGAGCCUUGGGGAGGAAUGUGAUAUAGACGCCCCAUUUAUGACGGAGCUCUACUGACACUUCUCUGCACUUGGACCCGUUGUGAGUUUCUGUAUUAACCACAAUCCACUGCACAAAGAAACUUCUCUAAUGAUGUUUGAGAGCUGCACUAAUGAGAGCCUGGACCCAGAAGAAUACUCUCUACUUUCUUCCUCCAGAAAUUCAGAGUUUCCAGUCUAGUAGAUCAACCUGGAAUUGACUUGAGCACAAGACCCCUCAAGAUUCUACGUAUGAGAUCACAUCAUCUACAACUGGAGAUGGUUUUACUUCUUCUUCCUUUCCCAUUUAAUGGUUUCGACUUCUCCUUUCAUCUCCCCUCCUUUGGUCCUCCAGUACAGUGUGGGUUCAAACACUCCUUUCUGUCUUAUUCCUGAUCA
rnacentral:lncRNA from 1 species